CCCUUAGAUGUUCUGGGCCGCACGCGCACUACACUGGUGCAUUCAACGAGCCUAUCCUUGACCGACAGGUCCGGGUAAUCUUUGAAUCUGCAUCGUGACGGGGAUAGAUUAUUGCAAUUAUUAAUCUUCAACGAGGAAUGCCUAGUAGGCGCAAGUCAUCAGCUUGCGUCGAUUACGUCCCUGCCCUUUGUACACACCGCCCGUCGCUCCUACCGAUUGGGUGUGCUGGUGAAAUGUUCGGAUCGGCCGUUUGUCGCGGUUUCCGCGUCAUGUGGCUGAGAAGUUCAUUAAACCCUCCCGCCUAGAGGAAGGAGAAGUCGUAACA
rnacentral:rRNA from 1 species